GACAGAGGGUGCAAGCGUUGUUCGGAAUUACUGGGCGUAAAGCGCGUGUAGGCGGCCAUCUAAGUCGGGCGUGAAAUCCCACGGCUCAACCGUGGAAGUGCACUCGAAACUGGAUGGCUAGAGUCCUGGAGAGGAAGGUGGAAUGCUUGGUGUAGAGGUGAAAUUCGUAGAUAUCAGGCGGAACACCAGUGGCGAAGGCGGCUCACUGGUCCGGUACUGACGCUGAGGUGCGAAAGCGUGGGGAGCAAACAGG
rnacentral:rRNA from 1 species